rnacentral:rRNA from 1 species
ACGGAAGGCAGCAGUGGGGGAUAUUGCACAAUGGGCGAAAGCCUGAUGCAGCAACGCCGCGUGAGGGAAGACGGUUUUCGGAUUGUAAACCUUUGUCCUUGGUGAAGAUAAUGACGGUAGCCGAGGAGGAAGCCACGGCUAACUACGUGCCAGCAGCCGCGGUAAUACGUAGGUGGCAAGCGUUGUCCGGAAUUACUGGGUGUAAAGGGAGCGCAGGCGGGGAAGCAAGUCAGUGGUGAAAUGCAUGGGCUUAACCCAUGAACUGCCAUUGAAACUGUUUUUCUUGAGUGAAUCAGAGGCAAGCGGAAUUCCGAGUGUAGCGGUGAAAUGCGUAGAUAUUCGGAGGAACACCAGUGGCGAAGGCGGCUUGCUGGGGUCUAACUGACGCUGAGGCUCGAAAGUGUGGGGAGCAAACAGGAUUAGAUACCCUGGUA